GCGAAAGUGGCGGAAUUGGUAGACGCGCCGGCCUUAGGAGCCGGUGGGGUAACCCGUGGGGGUUCGAGUCCCCCCUUUCGCACCA
rnacentral:tRNA from 1 species